rnacentral:lncRNA from 1 species
GUAAAGGAAAUACGUGAACAUUUGUUGAUUAUUAAUAUGGUUUGGCUGUGUCCCCACCAAAUCUCAACUUAAAUUGUAUCUCCCAGAAUUCCCACAUGUCACAGGAGGGACCCAGGUGGAGGUAAUUGAAUCGUGGUCGGGCGGGGGGGAAGGGGGUGGUCUUGCCGUGCUGUUCUCGUGAUAGUGAGUACCUCUCACGAGAUCUGAUGAGUUUAUCAGGAGUUUCCGCUUUUGCUUCUUCCUCAUCGUCUCUUGCCGCUGCCAUGAAAGGAGUGCUUUUUGCCUCCCACCAUGAUUCUGAGGCCUCCCCAGCCAUGUAGAAUUAGCCAGCCUGUUUUUGAUGAAGAGCAACUGUACUGGAGAGAAAGCCUGUAUUCAUAUUCAUCGUCAUCAGGCAAAUCGAGGAGCUGACUUGCUUAGGAUCAUCUGCUGGUUGAAUCCAUGGAUGCAGAACCCCAGAUUCGGAGGGCUGAAUGUACUUUCGAUAGGUUCCUGAGCAGCAGUGAUUAUAGUCACAGCAGACUGGACAGUUUGCUGGGACCAUCUCAUAAUGUUUGUGUACAUUCCUGUUGUCUUCUACCUCCCAUCCACCGUGUCUCUCUACUGCCUAUAACCAGCCUACAUAAGAUAAAUGUGAUUGGAGAGGAAACUAUCCCCAAUUCUCUCUUCAUUGACAUUUGGGGCUGUACCAGUUUACAUUUUCACCAACAUUCCCACCAUUGUGGUGGCCAGCAACUGAGGAGGCUGAGAUAAGUGGAUUCCCUGAGCCCAGGAGGUGGAGGUUGCAGUUAGCCAAGAUUGCGUCACUGCACUCCAGCCUAGGCAACAGAGUGAGACCUGUCUCAAAAAAAAAAAAAAAAAAGAGUUAAAUUAAAAAAUAAAUAAAAGUCAUUUGACCAUAUAUGUGAUUGUUUAUUUCUUGCUCUCCAUCUAUUCUAUUUACCUAUAUAUCUAUCUUUAUUCCAGUACAAUGCUGUUUUUAUUAUUGUAACUUUGAAAAAAAAUUUUAAAAUCUAGAAGUGUGAUCUUUAACUUUUGUUCUUUUUCAAAAUUGUUU